UGAUAACGUGCCCACGUGAUGAGAGGAAGUGACGUCACGGCAGGCUGCCGUGGACCUUCUGAUGCUCCCUCGGAAAGAGGGUCAUCUGUUUCCGAGCCACCGUUGACCACAGUCUAACCCAAGAUACUGCUGGCUUAACUUAAGACGGGGGAACUUUCUCCGAGUAGAGUGGCAUGUCAAGAUAAAGAAGGUCGCGCCAGUCUCCGGUUCUCACACUUUAUGCAGAAGAUGGCGUAUUUUGAAAUUUCCCCGGGUUCGGGACUCGGGGUUAGGAGUGAGGAAAAACACAUCUCGUUUGCUGAACGGCCCCGCUCACUGCACACAGCCCUGCCUGCCAGGGAGAUGAGGCACCUCCAUUUCACAGUUGCGGGAAGCACGGCUCGGGCUGAUUAAGGGCGUGCCCAAGGCCAGAGACAAACACGGGUGGUAAACUGAGGUUUCUCCCCGCGUCCUCAGGCUCCUCUUUCCAGCGUACCACACUGCCUUUCUUGUAAACACGCAGCGGAUCUGAGGGUGGGACAGAGGGAAGACGAGAGACAGACGGGGUGGGCUUCUGGCUGCCUGGUUUACCAGCCUCUACUUUGAGCACCUCUAGCAACCCCCUGGUUCUUAGAGUUCUCCAGCACCAAGGAACGAGCCCAGCGUCCUCAUCUCCCAAGGGCGUGUCCGAUUCAACCACUAGCAGUCAGCAAUGUUACAGAGCAUUUACAAAAUGUAAGAAGUAGUUUAUCAGUUGUCCAAUCAGACCGUGUGGCUCUGCUCC